rnacentral:rRNA from 1 species
UACGAAGGGGGCUAGCGUUGCUCGGAAUCACUGGGCGUAAAGGGUGCGUAGGCGGGUCUUUUAAGUCAGGGGUGAAAUCCUGGAGCUCAACUCCAGAACUGCCUUUGAUACUGAGGAUCUUGAGUUCGGGAGAGGUGAGUGGAACUGCGAGUGUAGAGGUGAAAAUUCGUAGAUAUUCGCAAGAACACCAGUGGCGAAGGCGGCUCACUGGCCCCGAUACUGACGCUGAGGCACGAAAGC